UACGUAGGGUGCGAGCGUUGUCCGGAAUUAUUGGGCGUAAAGAGCUCGUAGGCGGCUUGUCGCGUCGGUUGUGAAAGCCCGGGGCUUAACCCCGGGUCUGCAGUCGAUACGGCAGGCUAGAGUUCGGUAGGGAGAUCGGAACUCCUGGUGUAGCGGUGAAAUGCGCAGAGUAUCAGGAGGAACACCCGUGGCGAAGGCGGCUCUCUGGGACGGUACUGACGCUGAGACGCGAAGCGUGGGAGCGAACAGG
rnacentral:rRNA from 1 species